ACUAAUUUAUCUAAAACUUUUAUUUUUUCCCCCUUCAUCUGUCUAUUUCUGAGGAUGGUAUUUCUCUCCCACCUGGUCUCCCUUUCCCAAUCACUAAGACCAUGGGCCAAAAGGCUCCAAAUAAGUUCAUAAAUUUUAACUCCCAUCUCUAGUCUAUAUCUCAGCAGGCUGGCAGACACAUCGGAGCAGCAGCAUGGACCACAACCUGCAGCGCUUUCCCUGCUACAGAUGUCAUCAGAGAUUCUUGUCUGUGUGACGUGGACCCCAGCCCAGCCAAACAUCAUUGUUCCCUGCCUCUACAGCCAGAGACAUGUCAGCUCCUGGCAACAUCCUGUGUCUCCUCCAAGAAGAUAGAUGGCCUCAGAAAAACUUCUACCCAGAAGCUCAUGGCAAGGGUGGCCAUGCAGCAAAAAGCUGAGAUCCUGUCCAGACUGAAUAAGUGGAACAAUGGAGGACCGAUUGCCCCAUACUGCAAAGUCAAGGCUCCUGGAACACCACUGCUGCAACCUGCCUCCUCAGGGAAUGUUCCUGAGAUCUUCCGCCAUGUGUGACUCCCGGUUCCCUCCUCUCCACUUUGCCCCUUGUCAGAUUGAAGUAUCCUUGAGAAUUCAGCACCCUUGUUCCCCCACUUGCUCCCAUAACUCACCUCUUUAUAGUAAUCAAAACAGAGGAAUGCUACCAUUCUGACCCGCCCCUUGAAAUCCCACCUUUGGUGCCACCCCGCGUCCUGAUGUAAAAGCCUCAUUCUAAGGAAAAACUCCUCCCCUGUCUCUCUCUCUUCUGCU